GCCUGGGUGGCUCAGUCGGUUAAGCAUCCGACUUUGGCUCAGGUCAUGAUUUCACAGUUGGUGGGUUCAAGCCCCACGUCAGGCU
rnacentral:tRNA from 1 species